AUUGAACGCUGGCGGCAGGCCUAACACAUGCAAGUCGAGCGGAUGAAGGGAGCUUGCUCCUGGAUUCAGCGGCGGACGGGUGAGUAAUGCCUAGGAAUCUGCCUGGUAGUGGGGGAUAACGUCCGGAAACGGGCGCUAAUACCGCAUCCGUCCUGAGGGAGAAAGUGGGGGAUCUUCGGACCUCACGCUAUCAGAUGAGCCUAGGUCGGAUUAGCUAGUUGGUGGGGUAAAGGCCUACCAAGGCGACGAUCCGUAACUGGUCUGAGAGGAUGAUCAGGCACACUGGAACUGAGACACGGUCCAGACUCCUACGGGAGGCAGCAGUGGGGAAUAUUGGACAAUGGGCGAAAGCCUGAUCCAGCCAUGCCGCGUGUGUGAAGAAGGUCUUCGGAUUGUAAAGCACUUUAAGUUGGGAGGAAGGGCAGUAAGUUAAUACCUUGCUGUUUUGACGUUACCAACAGAAUAAGCACCGGCUAACUUCGUG
rnacentral:rRNA from 1 species